CAGUAGCCGCGGGAAUACGAAGGGUGCAAGCGUUAAUCGGAAUUACUGGGCGUAAAGGGUGCGUAGGCGGUUUGGCAAGUUUGGUGUGAAAUCCCCGGGCUCAACCUGGGAACUGCAUCCAAAACUGGCGAGCUAGAGUAUGGUAGAGGGUGGUGGAAUUUCCUGUGUAGCGGUGAAAUGCGUAGAUAUAGGAAGGAACAUCAGUGGCGAAGGCAAUCCCCUGGGCCUGCACUGACGCUCAUGCACGAAAGCGUGGGGAGCAAACAGGAUUAGAUACCCCUGUAGUCCCUGUCUCUUAUAC
rnacentral:rRNA from 1 species